rnacentral:rRNA from 1 species
ACGUAGGGUGCGAGCGUUGUCCGGAAUUAUUGGGCGUAAAGAGCUUGUAGGUGGCUCGUUGCGUCGGGAGUGAAAACCCGCGGCUCAACCGCGGGCCUGCUUCCGAUACGGGCGGGCUAGAGUUCGGCAGGGGAGACUGGAAUUCCUGGUGUAGCGGUGGAAUGCGCAGAUAUCAGGAGGAACACCGGUGGCGAAGGCGGGUCUCUGGGCCGAUACUGACACUGAGAAGCGAAAGCGUGGGGAGCGAACAGGA